GCACAAGCAGCGGAGCGUGUGGUUUAAUUCGAUGCUACACGAAGAACCUUACAGGGUUUGACAUGUAAGUGGUAGGAAACUGAAAAGGGACCGACCCUUCGGGGAGCUUACACAGGUGCUGCAUGGCUGUCGUCAGCUCGUGUCGUGAGAUGUUCGGUUAAGUCCGCUAACGAGCGCAACCCUCGCUGCGUGUUACAAGUGUCACGCGGAACUGCCGGUCUUAAGCCGGAGGAAGGUGGGAUGACGUCAAGUCAGCAUGGCCUUUAUAUCCUGGGCUACACACACGCUACAAUGGCCAACACAAUAGGUUGCUAAGCCGCGAGGCGGAGCCAAUCCUCAAAGUUGGUCUCAGUUCAGAUUGUAGGCUGCAACUCGCCUGCAUGAAGACGGAGUUGCUAGUAAACGCGUAUCAGCAGGUCGCGGUGAAUACGUUCCCGGGUCUU
rnacentral:rRNA from 1 species